rnacentral:rRNA from 1 species
AGUAGUUGAUCAGUGCACGAGGACACGCUGGCGGCGUGCCUAACACAUGCAAGUCGAGCGAGGAGAUUCCUUCGGGAUGAUCCUAGCGGCGGACGGGUGAGUAACACGUGGGCAACCUGCCUCAUAGAGAGGAAUAGCCUUCCGAAAGGGAGAUUAAUACCUCAUAACAUUGCAGUUUCGCAUGGAACAGCAAUUAAAGGAGUAAUCCGCUAUGAGAUGGGCCCGCGGCGCAUUAGCUAGUUGGUGAGGUAACGGCUCACCAAGGCGACGAUGCGUAGCCGACCUGAGAGGGUGAUCGGCCACAUUGGGACUGAGACACGGCCCAGACUCCUACGGGAGGCAGCAGUGGGGAAUAUUGCACAAUGGGGGAAACCCUGAUGCAAGCAACGCCGCGUGAGUGAUGACGGCCUUCGGGUUGUAAAGCUCUGUCUUCAGGGACGAUAAUGACGGUACCUGAGGAGGAAGCCACGGCUAACUACGUGCCAGCAGCCGC